AACGUAGGACGCAAGCGUUAUCCGGAAUUACUGGGCGUAAAGCGCGUGUAGGUGGUUGUGUAAGUCACUGUUGAAAGCUCCCGGCUAAACUGGGAGAGGUGCGGUGAGACUGCAUGGCUAGAGUAUGGAAGAGGGGUGCAGAAUUCCGGGUGUAGUGGUGAAAUGCGUAGAGAUCCGGAGGAAUACCAGAGGCGAAGGCGGCACCCUGGUCCAAAACUGACACUGAGACGCGAAAGCAUGGGGAGCGAACGGG
rnacentral:rRNA from 1 species